rnacentral:rRNA from 1 species
GACGAACGCUGGCGGCGUGCUUAACACAUGCAAGUCGAACGGUGAAGCCCUUCGGGGUGGAUCAGUGGCGAACGGGGGAGUAACACGUGCGCAACCUGCCCCUGUCUCUGGGACAACCACUGGAAACGGUGGCUAAUACCGUAUACGACCAGCCUCGGCAUCGAGUGUGGGUGGAAAGUUUUUCGGUUGGGGAUGGGCUCGCGGCCUAUCAGCUUGUCGGUGAGGUGUAGGCUCACCAAGGCGACGACGGGUAGCCGGCCUGAGAGGGCGACCGGCCACACUGGGACUGGGACACGGCCCAGACUCCUACCGGAGGCAGCAGUGGGGAAUAUUGCACAAUGGGCGGAAGCCUGAUGCAGCGACGCCGCGUGGGGGAUGACGGCCUUCGGGUUGUAAACCUCUUUCAGCUCCGAAGAAGCGAAAGUGACGGUAGGAGCAGAAGAAGCACCGGCUAACUACGUG